AACACGACUCUCGACAAUGGAUAUCUUGGCUCUUGCAUCGAUGAAGAGCGCAGCGAAAUGCGAUACGUGGUGUGAAUUGCAGAAUCCCGCGAAC
rnacentral:rRNA from 1 species